GGGCCCCAGUGUGCAUAUGGGCCCGAGGUGGCAGUAGCUGGGCUUCAAGCUGGUAUUUCUCUUGAAAUGGUACCUGAACACAUGCAUUUGAGGAAGAAGAUCGUGGAGACGUAGGGAGGAGGUCUAGUGCUGGGUGCAAAGACAAUGAUGAACCAGGCCUGGAAAGGAACGAAAGGAAAGAGGGGCUAGGAGAGGGGUGAUAAAAACGUGUAAAUCAGAGGCUAAGUAUGGGGCUUGUGCCUGAACUUAACCCAGGGAGGCACCUGAGCCCUUUGCGCCCUGUCAAGGGCAGGGGCACGGGCAAGGAGAUGGACAGCAGCUUACAUCAGGAGUCUACUGGGGCCAAUACCACCACGACCACCACCGUCACCACCAUCAUCAUCCUAUGUAAGGCCUGGCAUCUAGUUGGUGUUCCCUAAGUGAUGACGAAG